rnacentral:rRNA from 1 species
AUGCUUGGGAAUCUGGCUUAUGGAGGGGGAUAACUGUGGGAAACUGCAGCUAAUACCGCGUAAUCUCUGAGGAGUAAAGGGUGGGACCUAUUGGCCACCUGCCAUAAGAUGAGCCCAAGUGGGAUUAGGUAGUUGGUGGGGUAAAGGCCUACCAAGCCUGCGAUCUCUAGCUGGUCUGAGAGGAUGACCAGCCACACUGGAACUGAGACACGGUCCAGACUCCUACGGGAGGCAGCAGUGGGGAAUAUUGCGCAAUGGGGGGAACCCUGACGCAGCCAUGCCGCGUGAAUGAAGAAGGCCUUCGGGUUGUAAAGUUCUUUCGGUAAUGAGGAAGGGAUGUUGUUAAAUAGAUGGCAUCAUUGACGUUAAUUACAGAAGAAGCACCGGCUAACUCCGUGCCAGCAGCCGCGGUAAUACGGAGGGUGCGAGCGUUAAUCGGAAUAACUGGGCGUAAAGGGCACGCAGGCGGACUUUUAAGUGAGAUGUGAAAUCCCCGAGCUUAACUUGGGAAUUGCAUUUCAGACUGGGAGUCUAGAGUACUUUAGGGAGGGGUAGAAUUCCACGUGUAGCGGUGAAAUGC